GACGUAGGGCGCGAGCGUUGUCCGGAUUUAUUGGGCGUAAAGAGCUCGUAGGCGGCUUGUCGCGUCGUCUGUGAAAUCCCGCGGCUCAACCGCGGGUCUGCAGUCGAUACGGGCAGGCUAGAGUUCGGUAGGGGAGACUGGAAUUCCUGGUGUAGCGGUGAAAUGCGCAGAUAUCAGGAGGAACACCGGUGGCGAAGGCGGGUCUCUGGGCCGAUAUUGACGCUGAGGAGCGAAAGCGUGGGUAGCAAACAGG
rnacentral:rRNA from 1 species